rnacentral:rRNA from 1 species
AUUGAACGCUGGCGGCAUGCUUUACACAUGCAAGUCGAACGGCAGCGCGGGCUUCGUUCUGGCUGCGCUUGGCGAACGCGUGAGUAAUGCAUCGGAACGUGCCCAGUAGUGGGGGAGAGCCCGGCGAAAGCCGGAUUAAUACCGCAUCCGACCUGAGGGUGAAAGCGGGGGACCGAAAGGCUUCGCGCUAUUGGAGCGGCCGAUGUCGGAUUAGCUAGUUGGUGGGGUAAAGGCUUACCAAGGCGACGAUCCGUAGCUGGUCUGAGAGGACGACCAGCCACACUGGGACUGAGACACGGCCCAGACUCCUACGGGAGGCAGCAGUGGGGAAUUUUGGACAAUGGGGGCAAGCCUGAUCCAGCCAUGCCGCGUGCGGGAAGAAGGCCUUCGGGUUGUAAACCGCUUUUGUUCGGGAAGAAAUCCUCUGGGCUAAUACCCCGAGUGGAUGACGGUACCGGAAGAAUAAGCACCGGCUAACUACGUG